UUGAACGCUGGCGGCAGGCCUAACACAUGCAAGUCGAACGGUAACAGGAAACAGCUUGCUGUUUCGCUGACGAGUGGCGGACGGGUGAGUAAUGUCUGGGAAACUGCCUGAUGGAGGGGGAUAACUACUGGAAACGGUAGCUAAUACCGCAUAACGUCGCAAGACCAAAGAGGGGGACCUUCGGGCCUCUUGCCAUCGGAUGUGCCCAGAUGGGAUUAGCUAGUAGGUGGGGUAAUGGCUCACCUAGGCGACGAUCCCUAGCUGGUCUGAGAGGAUGACCAGCCACACUGGAACUGAGACACGGUCCAGACUCCUACGGGAGGCAGCAGUGGGGAAUAUUGCACAAUGGGCGCAAGCCUGAUGCAGCCAUGCCGCGUGUAUGAAGAAGGCCUUCGGGUUGUAAAGUACUUUCAGCGGGGAGGAAGGGAGUAAAGUUAAUACCUUUGCUCAUUGACGUUACCCGCAGAAGAAGCACCGGCUAACUCCGUGCCAGCAGCCGCGGUAAUACGGAGGGUGCAAGCGUUAAUCGGAAUUACUGGGCGUAAAGCGCACGCAGGCGGUUUGUUAAGUCAGAUGUGAAAUCCCCGGGCUCAACCUGGGAACUGCAUCUGAUACUGGCAAGCUUGAGUCUCGUAGAGGGGGGUAGAAUUCCAGGUGUAGCGGUGAAAUGCGUAGAGAUCUGGAGGAAUACCGGUGGCGAAGGCGGCCCCCUGGACGAAGACUGACGCUCAGGUGCGAAAGCGUGGGGAGCAAACAGGAUUAGAUACCCUGGUAGUCCACGCCGUAAACGAUGUCGACUUGGAGGUUGUGCCCUUGAGGCGUGGCUUCCGGAGCUAACGCGUUAAGUCGACCGCCUGGGGAGUACGGCCGCAAGGUUAAAACUCAAAUGAAUUGACGGGGGCCCGCACAAGCGGUGGAGCAUGUGGUUUAAUUCGAUGCAACGCGAAGAACCUUACCUGGUCUUGACAUCCACAGAACUUUCCAGAGAUGGAUUGGUGCCUUCGGGAACUGUGAGACAGGUGCUGCAUGGCUGUCGUCAGCUCGUGUUGUGAAAUGUUGGGUUAAGUCCCGCAACGAGCGCAACCCUUAUCCUUUGUUGCCAGCGGUCCGGCCGGGAACUCAAAGGAGACUGCCAGUGAUAAACUGGAGGAAGGUGGGGAUGACGUCAAGUCCUCAUGGCCCUUACGACCAGGGCUACACACGUGCUACAAUGGCGCAUACAAAGAGAAGCGACCUCGCGAGAGCAAGCGGACCUCAUAAAGUGCGUCGUAGUCCGGAUUGGAGUCUGCAACUCGACUCCAUGAAGUCGGAAUCGCUAGUAAUCGUGGAUCAGAAUGCCACGGUGAAUACGUUCCCGGGCCUUGUACACACCGCCCGUCACACCAUGGGAGUGGGUUGCAAAAGAAGUAGGUAGCUUAACCUUCGGGAGGGCGCUUACCACUUUGUGAUUCAUGACUGGGGUG
rnacentral:rRNA from 1 species